rnacentral:rRNA from 1 species
CCUGCCCAGAAGCGGGGGAUAACACCUGGAAACAGAUGCUAAUACCGCAUAACAACUUGGACCGCAUGGUCCGAGUUUGAAAGAUGGCUUCGGCUAUCACUUUUGGAUGGUCCCGCGGCGUAUUAGCUAGAUGGUGAGGUAACGGCUCACCAUGGCAAUGAUACGUAGCCGACCUGAGAGGGUAAUCGGCCACAUUGGGACUGAGACACGGCCCAAACUCCUACGGGAGGCAGCAGUAGGGAAUCUUCCACAAUGGACGAAAGUCUGAUGGAGCAACGCCGCGUGAGUGAAGAAGGGUUUCGGCUCGUAAAACUCUGUUGUUAAAGAAGAACAUAUCUGAGAGUAACUGUUCAGGUAUUGACGGUAUUUAACCAGAAAGCCACGGCUAACUACGUGCCAGCAGCCGCGGUAAUACGUAGGUGGCAAGCGUUGUCCGGAUUUAUUGGGCGUUAAAGCGAGCGCAGGUCGGUUUUUUAAGUCUGAUGUGAAAGCCUUCGGCUCAACCGGAAGAAAGUGCAUCGGAAA